rnacentral:tRNA from 1 species
CGCAGGGUAGAGCAGUCGGUUAGCUUGCUACUUUGACUUGGUAGAGGUCGUGGGUUCGAGUCCCACCCCUGCAA